CACGAACGCUGGCGGCAGGCUUAACACAUGCAAGUCGAGCGCCCCGCAAGGGGAGCGGCAGACGGGUGAGUAACGCGUGGGAAUCUACCCAUCUCUACGGAAUAACGCAUGGAAACGUGUGCUAAUACCGUAUACGUCCUUCGGGAGAAAGAUUUCUCGGAGAUGGAUGAGCCCGCGUUGGAUUAGCUAGUUGGUGGGGAAAAGGCCUACCAAGGCGACGAUCGAUAGCUGGUCUGAGAGGAUGAUCAGCCACACCGGGACUGAGACCCGGCCCAGACUCCUACGGGAGGCAGCAGUGGGGAAUAUUGGACAAUGGGCGCAAGCCUGAUCCAGCCAUGCCGCGUGAGUGAUGAAGGCCCUAGGGUUGUAAAGCUCUUUCACCGGUGAAGAUAAUGACGGUAACCGGAGAAGAAGCCCCGGCUAACUUCGUGCCAGCAGCCGCCGUAACAC
rnacentral:rRNA from 1 species